UAGUUCUUCCGCAUGGUGGAACUAUUAAAGAAUUUCGGUCAUCGAUGGGGAUGCGUUCCAUUAGUUUGUUGGCGGGGUAACGGCCCACCAAGACUACGAUGGAUAGGGGUUCUGAGAGGAAGGUCCCCCACAUUGGAACUGAGACACGGUCCAAACUCCUACGGGAGGCAGCAUG
rnacentral:rRNA from 1 species